GUGUCAGCCGCCGCGGUAAGACAGAGGGUGCAAACGUUGUUCGGAAUUACUGGGCGUAAAGCGUGUGUAGGCGGUCGAGUAAGUCGGGUGUGAAAGCCCAGGGCUCAACCCUGGAAGUGCACUCGAUACUGCCCGGCUAGAGUACUGGAGAGGUUGGUGGAAUUCUCGGUGUAGAGGUGAAAUUCGUAGAUAUCGAGAGGAACACCGGUGGCGAAGGCGGCCAACUGGACAGAUACUGACGCUGAGACACGAAAGCGUGGGGAGCAAACAGGAUUAGAAACCCCUGUAGUCC
rnacentral:rRNA from 1 species